UACGGGGGGUCCUAGCGUUGUUCGGAAUCACUGGGCGUAAAGCGUUUGUAGGUGGCUUUGUAAGUUGAAUGUGAAAGCCCAGGGCCUAACCCUGGAAGUGCAUUCAAUACUGCAAAGCUUGAGUAUGGGAGAGGAAAAUGGAAUACCUGGUGUAGUGGUGAAAUACGUAGAUAUCAGGUGGAACAUCGGCGGCGAAAGCGGUUUUCUGGCCUAAGUACUGACACUGAA
rnacentral:rRNA from 1 species